AUAAAAAAUAAAAAAGUGGUAUUAUCUUGUUUGAUUUCUUCAGCUUUCAAGACACCUAUGAGAUCUGCCUGUGUUAAACUAUUGACACAUCCUGUUGUAUACAGUCAGGACAUCGGUGCACAGCUAUCAGAGGCUGUAAAGAUCCCUUUGAGACAUGUGGGUGGUAAAAUAUUGACACAUCCUGUAGCAUACCGUCAGGACAUUGGUGCACAGCUAUCAGAGGAUUUUCAGUGCAGACCAGUCCUAGCAUCAGCCAUCCCCUCAUCAGAUGAUGAACCCCUGAGCUGUGCUCAGUUGUAUACACCCUCAUCACCACAGCCAAAGAAGAAGAAGAAGCAGAAG